rnacentral:rRNA from 1 species
GGCAUGCUUAACACAUGCAAGUCGAACGGAAACAGGACGCUAGGAUUCCUUCGGGAUGACUUUGUCGCUGUCGAGUGGCGGACGGGUGAGUAAUGCAUAGGAAUUUGCCUCAAAGUGGGGGAUAGCCCGGAGAAAUCCGGAUUAAUACCGCAUGUGCUCUACGGAGGAAAGCGGGCCUCUAUUUAUAAGCUCGCGCUUUGAGAUAAGCCUAUGUCGGAUUAGCUUGUUGGUAGGGUAAUGGCCUACCAAGGCGACGAUCCGUAGCUGGUUUGAGAGGAUGAUCAGCCACACUGGGACUGAGACACGGCCCAGACUCCUACGGGAGGCAGCAGUGGGGAAUAUUGGACAAUGGGCGCAAGCCUGAUCCAGCAAUGCCGCGUGUGUGAAGAAGGCCUGCGGGUUGUAAAGCACUUUUAUUAGGAAAGAAAAGUCUGAGGUUAAUAACCUUCAGACCGUGACGGUACCUAAAGAAUAAGCACCGGCUAACUCAGUG